rnacentral:rRNA from 1 species
UACGUAGGCGGCAAGCGUUGUUCGGAGUUACUGGGCGUAAAGAGUGCGUAGGUGGUGCCCUAAGUCUGUUGUGAAAUCUCCCGGCUUAACUGGGAGGGUGCGGUGGAAACUGGGGUGCUUGAGUGUGGGAGAGGUAAGCGGAAUUCCUGGUGUAGCGGUGAAAUGCGUAGAUAUCAGGAGGAACACCGGUGGUGUAGACGGCUUACUGGACCACGACUGACACUGAGGCACGAAAGCGUGGGUAGCAAACAGG